CAGGCAAAAUCGCCGCACGGCACUAAAUUGGAGGCGUUUGCCAACCGGGUCGCCUAAUCCUGAGGAGCUCCAAGGGAAAAGAAGGGACGUGCUGAAAAUGUAGUUGGACGCGCGGCCAGGGUUCGGAAUUAAGCCUCUAAUUUUAGAUUAGAUUUCACAAGUUAAUCGUCGGAUGUGGUUGAAACUGCAGCCAGAAUGGAAAAAUCGCUAGCGGCGAAAACCAGCGCGAGUCCGCACGGAGCCAAUUGUUCCGGAGGAUAGCGCAGCGUCCGCGUAAGAGGGGCCGGAGGCAGUGCGUCGGUGGACUUGGAGAUGACCACGUGGCCAGCGCGGGCAUUCGUUCCUGGAACGGACUCACCGAGGGAAUCUCCGUAUCUGGCCGUCUCGGAGGCAGUCGCUGUAGCUGCUGGUGCUGGAGGCUGCUGCUGCUGCUCCUGAUCGCUGCUGCGGCUGAUGC